rnacentral:rRNA from 1 species
UACGUAGGGGGCAAGCGUUGUCCGGAAUCAUUGGGCGUAAAGCGCGUGUAGGCGACCCGAUAAGUCCGCUGUGAAAGUCCAGGGCUCAACCCUGGAAUGCCGGUGGAUACUGUCGGGCUCGAGUCCGGAAGAGGCGAGUGGAAUUCCUGGUGUAGCGGUGAAAUGCGCAGAUAUCAGGAGGAACACCGAUGGCGAAGGCAGCUCGCUGGGACGGUACUGACGCUGAGACGCGAAAGCGUGGGGAGCAAACAGG